GGUCACCCAGACGCUUGUUUUUAUCAGAUGUGCGUACGAACGAGUCGAUACAUCUUGAUGAUCAAGACUAUUCAAAUUGACGCGCGCUAUCAAUUCGAAGUAGAGAAAAUUUCAAGAGAAGGCCAGCAUGUCGAGAAGAAGAGUUACUCCCAGGGAGAUUUGCCGACGAAAACAGUAAGUUCAUCAUAGAUAAGAACAUGCAUUGGUUGCAUUUGUUAGUGUAAAAAUACAUUUUAAAUUUGACAUAACCAUCGUGUUAUUGGACAUUCACUUUACAUGAUACGACGUACUCUGCUUUAUGCAAAACCAUAGGCCUAUGUAUUUUUAUUCUGUAUAUAUCUGUGUGUAUACGUCUGAAAAGUUCAAAACUAUUGAAAUGGUUUUGUUUUCUAAGGGUGGUAUGUGAUACGAUUCUCGCAGACAAAGAACUCAGCCCCCCUGGUAUAGGCCUAGUAAAAUCAAAUCAAUUAGAGGAGACAGGGGAAACGAGGGAGGAGAAAGUCCAAGCACCUUAGACAGAUGGUGUCAUGUAUCAUAUGGAGAUAUUGAAUUUGAAAGUGCAUUUGCCAUUACAACAUUGGGGAUGGACAACAUAGACAUUCAUGAUUGUGAAAGCCAUAAACACAAAGACUGGAACCAUGUACUGUGCUGUUAAAGAAAAUAGACUAUCUAAGUAGACGUCAAGUGCAUUAUUUCAUUUAAUUCAAAAGUCAACAUUGUGUAAUUUUUUUCGUGGAUGACAUUGAUUAUUUGAUCUGAAUUUGCAAAAAUUGGAUUGAGUGGGAAUAAGUGCUGUGAUUUCAAAUGAAAACCAUGAUAGACACAUUGCUUUUUCAUCCAGAUGUAAGUAAAAUCAUAAAUGCAUAUUGAAAAUUCAGUUUAUUGGAAAUGACUGUGACUUGUGGGUAAUUGGUUUUUUUUUAUUUAUAAUUAAAAAACUUAUAUUAUUGGGAACAGUAUAAAUCUAUGGCUAAUUCUCUAAAUUUGAAGUGUUUUUUAUGCAUAUUAAAUCAAUAUAAAUUGA